AACGAACGCUGACGGCAUGCCUAACACAUGCAAGUCGAACGAGACCUUCGGGUCUAGUGGCGCACGGGUGCGUAACGCGUGGGAACCUGCCCUUAGGUUCGGAAUAACUCCCCGAAAGGGGUGCUAAUACCGGAUAAUGUCUUCGGACCAAAGAUUUAUCGCCUUUGGAUGGGCCCGCGUUGGAUUAGCUAGUUGGUAGGGUAAAAGCCUACUAAGGCGACGAUCCAUAGCUGGUCUGAGAGGAUGAUCAGCCACACUGGGACUGAGACACGGCCCAGACUCCUACGGGAGGCAGCAGUGGGGAAUAUUGGACAAUGGGCGAAAGCCUGAUCCAGCAAUGCCGCGUGAGUGAUGAAGGCCUUAGGGUUGUAAAGCUCUUUUACCCGGGAUGAUAAUGACAGUACCGGGAGAAUAAGCUCCGGCUAACUCCGUG
rnacentral:rRNA from 1 species